CUGAGCCUUUGAAGAUGAGCAAGACCAACAAGAACCAGUCAGGUAAAAAUCCUUGGUGAAGUCACCAGAUAUGGAUGGCGUGUAUGUUGUUUGACAUUGCAGUGUGCUGAUGAGUUAAUAAAGAGCGUGUAUGUUGUUCGACAUUUGCAGCGUGCUGAUGAGUAUCGCUCUUUCGGUUAAUAAAGAGGUAAG